rnacentral:rRNA from 1 species
GAGUUUGAUCCUGGCUCAGGACGAACGCUGGCGGCACGCCUAACACAUGCAAGUCGAACGGAGAUAUUUUGGUUUACUGAGAUAUCUUAGUGGCGGACGGGUGAGUAACACGUGAGCAACCUGCCUCUGAGAGAGGGAUAGCUUCUGGAAACGGAUGGUAAUACCUCAUAACAUAACGAAGCCGCAUGACUUUGUUAUCAAAGAUUUAUCACUCAGAGAUGGGCUCGCGUCUGAUUAGAUAGUUGGUGAGGUAACGGCUCACCAAGUCGACGAUCAGUAGCCGGACUGAGAGGUUGAACGGCCACAUUGGGACUGAGACACGGCCCAGACUCCCACGGGAGGCAGCAGUGGGGAAUAUUGCACAAUGKKGGAAACCCUGAUGCAGCGAUGCCGCGUGGAGGAAGAAGGUUUUCGGAUUGUAWACUCCUGUCUUAAAGGACRAUAAUGAWCGGUACUU